rnacentral:tRNA from 1 species
GCCAUCAUAGCUCAGUAGGUAGAGCACAUCCAUGGUAAGGAUGGGGUCGCAGGUUCGAUUCCUCGUUGUUGGCACCA